rnacentral:rRNA from 1 species
UACUGCCUGGUAGUGGGGGACGAACGUUUCGAAGAACGCUAAUACCGCAUACGUCCUACGGGAGAAAGCAGGGACCUUCGGGCCUUGCGCUAUCAGAUGAGCCUAGGUCGGAUUAGCUAGUUGGUGAGGUAAUGGCUCACCAAGGCGACGAUCCGUAACUGGUCUGAGAGGAUGAUCAGUCACACUGGAACUGAGACACGGUCCAGACUCCUACGGGAGGCAGCAGGC